UGGAAGUCAGAUCCUUCAGGUGAUUGUCUACUGGCCACAAGGGCACCCAUCACUUCCAUGGCCUCCGUGGUUUCUAGCCCUGCCUUUCUGGGGGCAGAAAUGUCUGCUGUGGUCCUUCCUUUUGGAAAUCUGAAGACUUUUGGAAUUGCCCCUGAAAAGAAAGGAAGAUAAGAGGGAGCUGCAGAAGCAGUGUUCCCAUCAUGGCCUGGCACCACUAUUCCAGAAUGCUGUUGAAGUGAGGGAACCACUGGCAACCUUGACAUGCCUCACUGAUAAAGUGCUUUGUAUACAAAGACCCAGGACAGAAGCAAGAGGACAGUUGGCUUCUAGAGUGCUAAACACCCAGAAAAUACAAUAGGCAAUUUACAGUUUUUACCGACUUAUAAUUUGCUAAGUAUUCACAAUUUGUUAAUAAAAACAGCUACUAUUACCACA